UACAGAGGGUGCGAGCGUUAAUCGGAAUUACUGGGCGUAAAGCGCGCGUAGGCGGCUUUGCAAGUCGGGUGUGAAAUCCCCGGGCUCAACCUGGGAAUUGCAUUUGAUACUGGAUAGCUAGAGUUCGGCAGAGGGAAGCGGAAUUUCUGGUGUAGCGGUGAAAUGCGUAGAUAUCAGAAGGAACAUCAGUGGCGAAAGCGGCUUCCUGGACCAGAACUGACGAUCAGGCACGAAAGCGUGGGGAGCAAACAGG
rnacentral:rRNA from 1 species